rnacentral:rRNA from 1 species
AUACGUAGGGGGCGAGCGUUGUCCGGAAUGAUUGGGCGUAAAGGGCGCGUAGGCGGCCCGGUAAGUCUGGAGUGAAAGUCCUGUUUUUAAGAUGGGAAUUGCUUUGGAUACUGUCGGGCUUGAGUGCAGGAGAGGUAAGUGGAAUUCCCAGUGUAGCGGUGAAAAGCGUAGAGAUUGGGAGGAACACCAGUGGCGAAGGCGACUUACUGUACGGUAACUGACGCUGAGGCGCGAAAGUGUGGGGAGCAAACAGGAGUAGAUACCCUGGUAGUCCACGCUGUAAACGAUGAUUACUAUGUGUGGGGGGACUGACCCCUUCCGUGCCUCAGUUAACACAAUAAGUAAUCCACCUGGGGAGUACGGCCGCAAGGUUGAAACUCAAAUGAAUUGACGGGG